rnacentral:rRNA from 1 species
GAUGAACGCUAGCGGCAGGCUUAACACAUGCAAGUCGAGGGGCAGCGUGAUGAAGUAGCAAUACGGAUUUGACGGCGACCGGCGCACGGGUGCGUAACGCGUAUGUAACCUACCUUUAACAGGGGGAUAACACUGAGAAAUUGGUACUAAUACCCCAUAACACUUUAGGAGGCAUCUCCUUUGGUUGAAAGUUCCGGCGGUUAAAGAUGGACAUGCGUUGUAUUAGCUAGAUGGUGAGGUAACGGCUUACCAUGGCGACGAUACAUAGGGGGACUGAGAGGUUAACCCCCCACACUGGUACUGAGACACGGACCAGACUCCUACGGGAGGCAGCAGUGAGGAAUAUUGGUCAAUGGGCGCAAGCCUGAACCAGCCAAGUCGCGUGAGGGAAGACGGCCCUACGGGUUGUAAACCUCUUUUGUCGGGGAGCAAAUUGAUGACGUGUCAUCAGGUGAGAGUACCCGAAGAAAAAGCAUCGGCUAACUCCGUG